rnacentral:misc_RNA from 1 species
GAUGAAGAACGCAGCGAAAUGCGAUAAGUAAUGUGAAUUGCAGAAUUCAGUGAAUCAUCGAAUCUUUGAACGCACAUUGCGCCCGCCAGUAUUCUGGCGGGCAUGCCUGUUCGAGCGUCAUUUCCACCAUCAGGCCCCCGGGCCUGUGUUGGGGACCUGCGGCUGCCCGCAGGCCCCGAAAUUCAGUGGCGGUCGCGCCGUAGCAACCGAGCGUAGUAACUAAAACGUCUCGCUCUGGCUCGCUGGGCGCGCUCCGGCCGUAAAACACCCCCCCUUUUCGCAAAGGUUGACCUCGGAUCAGGUAGGAAUACCCGCUGAACUUAAGCAUAUCAAUAACGGAGGA